CCUACGGGAGGCAGCAGUGGGGAAUCUUGCGCAAUGGGCGAAAGCCUGACGCAGCCAUGCCGCGUGAAUGAUGAAGGUCUUAGGAUUGUAAAAUUCUUUCACCGGGGACGAUAAUGACGGUACCCGGAGAAGAAGCCCCGGCUAACUUCGUGCCAGCAGCCGCGGUAAUACGAAGGGGGCUAGCGUUGCUCGGAAUUACUGGGCGUAAAGGGAGCGUAGGCGGAUAGUUUAGUCAGAGGUGAAAGCCCAGGGCUCAACCUUGGAAUUGCCUUUGAUACUGGCUAUCUUGAGUGUGGGAGAGGUAUGUGGAACUCCGAGUGUAGAGGUGAAAUUCGUAGAUAUUCGGAAGAACACCAGUGGCGAAGGCGACAUACUGGCCCAUUACUGACGCUGAGGCUCGAAAGCGUGGGGAGCAAACAGGAUUAGAUACCCUGGUAGUCCACGCUGUAAACGAUGAGUGCUAGUUGUCGGCAUGCAUGCAUGUCGGUGACGCAGCUAACGCAUUAAGCACUCCGCCUGGGGAGUACGGUCGCAAGAUUAAAACUCAAAGGAAUUGACGGCUGAGACGNGCGAGACGACGACGAGGGAGAGG
rnacentral:rRNA from 1 species